GACAGAACCAACAUGGAAACAGAGGAAGACACAUGGCCCUAAAAUAACCUCAUUCUGCAUGUGGUCCAAGAGGUGCACACGAUGAGAUGCCACCACUCAUCCACACGGUUGGGGUACCUGAGAAAAUGGAAAAGCAGAAGGUUAUGGAUUGCAGCAAAGGCCAAGAACACUUCACCAAGCAGUGGAGAACUGUGGCGCAUUUAUUCUGUGUGUGUUUAUAUAUGCGUUUGUUAUGUCCCAUCACAGCUACUGAAGUCAAUGCACGGCCAACGGAGACUCAUUAGUAACUCUGGAACUCCUGUCUCACAGCUCUGGCUACUGAGGGGACUUGUACUGACAAUAUAAAGUGGGGAUUAUUGAAUUAGCCGCCAUGCCUAAAUGUCCUUUCUAAUCAUGUGAAUGGAUGGGGAAACGCAGCUGGGUAUGAAAUGGACCACCAAUAAAAUA